GCCCACAUCGCAUAAUGGUAGUGCACCGGUCUUGAACACCGGGCCCUUGUGGCAUCCCGGUUCGAUUCCGGGUGUGGGCG
rnacentral:tRNA from 1 species